GGGCGCCGGGGGCGCGCAUUAAAGAGACAGUCCGGGGGCUUUAGCUUAGGCCUUCUCAGUGUCCCCAAGGAGGUGGGGGUGGGGAGGAGAGGAGGGAAAGUGUAGAGGGGUCUUUGUCAGGGGAGAGGAAAUUCUACCUGGUUUCUAAAGGGUGGCACCAGAGCAUGUGCCAACUCAGGAUAGUCUACACCAAACAGAUCUUCAGGACCUCUCCGUAAUAUUGACGCCUGGAUCCGUGCUCCGCAGCUUCCUCCUGGGUCUGGCUCCUUUCCCUCCCCUCCUGGACUCCUCGGCUCCCCGCUUCCUCCACCUCGCACCCAAAGAACCGCGGCCCUAGGAACAGGGCGGCUGCACUGGCUCACCCACCCAUCCUGGAGCUUACCCCGCCACAUUCCCGAGGUCUGAAAUGGCCCAGUAAAAGGCCGGGAGAAAGACUAAGGAGGCUUGUGGCACCCUGAAGAUUGUCUGGGGGAGACUGAGGGGGAGAGCACUGGCCAAGGGAAAGAGGAAGGGCCAACUCCACAAAGGACCCCCUUUAUUAUGUGAUCAGCACAAAGCAGGGACUCCAGCCUGAGUCUAUAAAUGGAUCCACCACAUCCCAGGAGAUGUCCUUAAUCCUCUUAGUCUCUUCCAUGAAUAUGUCCCACACUUUCAGAAGGAAGAGUCAGUGGUCCCCAAGUGAGGUACUUCAUGUUGAGGCAGAGAUAGUUCAUCAAGAUGCUCAGGAACUCCCCUGCAUACAGUGAUCCAGCACAUUAUCCUUGCAGCUAUCUAACUGCCUCCGAAGUGGGCUUGCAUCUGCAUUCAUCCAUUGUUGGAUUCCCUAUUCACUUUUCCUUCAUUUUUCACUGCUUCAAAACCCCAGGGUUCUCCGGUCUGUUCAUCAAAAGAUGUGCAGACCAGGGCCCGUGGAAUUUGUAGCUUGGGCAAGGGAUGGUAGGAGGGUAGCGAGAGGGACAAAAGGGAACUUUUCAUUUGGGGAUGAGAUCAUGGAUUUUGAGCUGAGGUCAUUGAUUCCAACUCCUGUAUUUCUCAGACCAGCAAAUUAAAGCACCCUGUGACUUAACCAGAUUAAGUACCUGAGCCUGGAUUUGAAUCUAGAGCUUCCUGCGGCUCGGGGCCACACUUUUUCCUUUGCUGCCAGUUCUUGAGAGAAAAUAGCAGGAGGUCAAGACAGGAAGAGCAUUCCCAUCCAUGGGCCAUGGCUUCCCAGUGCUUUCCCCUUUCCUAAACUACUUCCCAAGUCCAGAGGGUCCCUGCUAACUCGUCUGCCAGUGGA